rnacentral:rRNA from 1 species
UGGGGAAUAUUGCACAAUGGGCGCAAGCCUGAUGCAGCGACGCCGCGUGAGGGAUGACGGCCUUCGGGUUGUAAACCUCUUUCAGCAGGGGAGAAGCGAAAGUGACGGUACCUGCAGAAGAAGCGCCGGCUAACUACGUGCCAGCAGCCGCGGUAAUACGUAGGGCGCGAGCGUUGUCCGGAAUUAUUGGGCGUAAAGAGCUUGUAGGCGGUUUGUCGCGUCUGCUGUGAAAGCCCGGGGCUUAACCCCGGGUUUGCAGUGGGUACGGGCAGACUAGAGUGCAGUAGGGGAGACUGGAAUUCCUGGUGUAGCGGUGAAAUGCGCAGAUAUCAGGAGGAACACCAAUGGCGAAGGCAGGUCUCUGGGCUGUAACUGACGCUGAGAAGCGAAAGCAUGGGGAGCAAACA